GGACUGUUGGCCCAAUGGUAAGGCGUCUGACUACGAUUGUACCAUCGGCACGAGCUGUAAUCAGGAGAUUCUGGGUUCGAUCCCCAGGCGGUCCU
rnacentral:tRNA from 1 species